rnacentral:rRNA from 1 species
GCCUGUCUGCGUUUGUGGACAAGGCAAUGUGGUGUUUAGGUGUGUGCCUGGGGUGGUCAGUCUAUUCGAAGUCCAGCAUAGAUUAUGGCUCUGGAUUUGGUCCAUAGCGGGUGAAAGACCCGUACGGAUAGACUGUUAGGCAUGUUGACCGCCCUCAGAUGCAUUCACCUUGGAGUCGGAUAGCUUGAGAAUGCUGUCCAAAGUGGGUGGUAAACUCCAUCCAAGGCUAAAUACUGGCACGAGUCCGAUAGCAAACAAGUACCGUGAGGGAAAGUUGAAAAGUACUCUGAAGAGAGAGUAAAUAGUACGUGAAACCGCCUGUAGGGAAGCUGGUCGAGUCAAGCUGCAUGCCCUGGAAAUUAAGCAAGUGACUGUUGUGGUACUGCGGAGUGGGCGAUCGGUGGCCUUGCAAAUAGGCUGGCGGAUUUAUCCGUUCUGUGUGGUGCACUGGUUGGUGCUUAUAUGGCCGGUCGUCUUAGCUCUGAGUCGCUUGUGUCCUUUUCCUGUGGCAGACAUCACGAUCGAUAUCGUCGCUGGCACAUGGUAGUGAAACCAUUCGGAAGUGAGUCUUGUACUUGCGCCGGAUGGGACGGCAGGUAGCUCGCCUGUGAGGCCUCGGCCUCCUUGCGAGUGUUUUGCGGUUGCGACCGGCUCUCUACCAUUCUGUUAUGCAUUCAGCCAUGCGAUAUAUCGUUGAUCUUGUCGUGUUCGGGAGGUUGUGGUACCCCUUGCUGGUUGUUCAGGCAUGUCUCUGUGAAAGCAGUACGAGUCUGUGACUGGUCGGCGGGGUGGUGCUUCCAAUUGCUCGGCACAUGAAUCGUGGUGUUGUGGUAGACGUUCCAC